rnacentral:misc_RNA from 1 species
UUAAAUGAUGUUUUUUUGGGUAAUUACAUUUAUUUUGUUGCGCUUGAAAUCAUCGGCGAUUUAAGGCCUUUCAUCUCCUAAAAAAUCCUACUUUUUUUAAUUGUGUCCACUUUCCGCAUUUAGGUGUAGCGACUUUUUAAUCACACUAUAAUUAAACUGCAAUUUUUGGUAUAAAAACAGCGCAUUCACGUAGGUUUUUAAUUAGACGGCGACCACAUAAUUCCCAUAAAUGGUUGUCAAUUAAUUUCCACAAAUCAAAUCUUCGUCUCGAUGAUUUUCCUUUACUCUGGACUGGAUUCAGCUAUAAAAGCUUGUUAGCUUCGGCUUCCAGCAGGAGGAAACCCUAUAUAAGAGCAUGUUGGCGCAACUUGUUGCUUCUUCUGGAUAGCUAUUUGGCUUCAGUGAUCCACCCGGGUGUGUAGUGUCGUCUUCCAUUGGCCGCUGGCUGGACUGAGAGAUACCAUGAACAGUGAGGAGUUUAGAAUAAAAGGCAAAGAGCUAAUUGACUACAUAGCAGACUACCUGGAAAACAUUAGAGAUCGCCGGGUAUUUCCCGAUAAAAAGCCUGGAUUUAUAAGAGGUUCAAUUCCUGAUGCAGCUCCCAUUAAAGGAGAGUCCUGGGAAACGAUUUUCCGGGAUGUGGAGAAAGUAAUUAUGCCAGGGGUCACUCAUUGGCAAAGUCCACAUAUGCACGCCUACUUUCCAGCCCUAAACAGCUAUCCAUCGAUGCUGGGAGAGAUGCUGAGCAAUGCGAUUAAUUGUCUGGGCUUUACUUGGGCUUCAAGUCCUGUUUGCACCGAACUGGAAAUGGUGGUAAUGAAUUGGCUGGGGAAAAUGGUCGGUCUUCCUGAAGAGUUCCUUCAUAGAAAAGGUGGAGAUGGGGGCGGAGUGAUUCAGACCACUGCCAGCGAAUGCACCUUAAUAAGCCUAUUAGCUGGCCGAUUUAUAGCGAUAAAGAUGUUCGAAAGUCUUUACCCCGAUGCUUCCAAGCAUGAAAUCAACGGGAAACUUGUGGCUUAUUGCUCAGAUCAAGCCCAUUCCAGUGUGGAAAAGGCUGCGCUCAUUGGCCUAGUCACUCUGAGGUACAUAGAAUGUGAUGAGGAUUUUUCAAUGCGAGGUGAUAAACUGUUGAAGGCAGUCAAACAGGACAGAGAUCAGGGUCUGAUCCCGUUUUGGGUUUGCGCUACUUUGGGUACAACUGGAUCGUGCGCCUUUGAUAAACUGGCCGAGAUUUCAGAAGUUUGCUACAACGAACUACUUUGGUGCCAUGUAGAUGCUGCUUAUGCAGGCUCAGCCUUUAUAUGCCCAGAAUAUCGAGUCUGGCUAAAAGGGGUCGAAAAAGCCAAUUCCAUAGCAUUCAACCCUUCCAAGUGGCUGAUGGUCCACUUCGAUUGCACCGCCAUGUGGGUUAAAAACAGCAGCGCUCUUCAUGGGGCUUUUAACGUAAACCCCCUGUACCUCACCCACGAAUAUUCAGGUCUGGCCAUUGACUACAUGCACUGGCAAAUUCCUCUAAGCAAACGAUUCAGAUCCUUGAAGCUUUGGUUUGUGAUCCGCAAUUAUGGAAUUACCGGACUGCAGGAGCACAUCCGGAAAGGCGUUUUUUUAGCAGAAAAAUUUGAGUCGUUUGUCAGGAACGAUCCCCGGUUCGAAAUUCCUGCUAAACGCUAUCUGGGAUUGGUGGUGUUUCGAUUGGUUGGGGAUAAUUUUAUCACGGAAACUUUAUGCAAAAGGCUAAAUUCGCGAGGGAACAUCCACUGUGUUCCUGCCAACCUGAAAGGCAAAUACGUUAUUCGGUUCACCGUAACAUCGCCGAGAACCACUUUGGAAGACAUUGUGGUCGAUUGGAAGGAAAUUGUAACAGUGGCCAACGAAAUACUGCAGGAGCGCGAGAAAUAUCUUACAAGAGCUAAAGUGCCUCUGGGAGCAAAAGAUCCUAAACCCACCAAUCAAGGGAUCAAAGGACUGAGACGCUCCAAUGCUGUUAAUCUCAAUCUUUUAAUCGACUCAAAAUGCAAAUACCUUCUAAAUGGCUCAGCCAUGCCGUAAAAAAUAUAAUAUUAAGCAUAAGCACUCGUUUAAAUAAGCAAAUUUUUCAGUUUUGCAGACGAGUCAUUAAUGUAUUUUUGCUGAAAAAUUGCUUCUUAUUUCACUGAGUUCAAAUUCGAAAUCUCUUCGCACCCAAGUGGUAAAGGCUUGAGUUUGUGAGCAAACAAUCCGCUGUUUAAUUCUACUUUUGAUGAGCAUUUUUAAACUGUUUGCUUGCAGAGACCAGGGACAGAAAUGAAAAUUUCGGCUCAAGCUUGCUUUUAUCCAAUGUUCCAAUGUCGCCGAAAAUAGUGAAUGCUUCAUUCGCGGCAAUUUACGAUCAAAGCGAUGUCUUGGAACAGUUCACGAAAACUAUCAAGUUGCGAAAAGAUGCGCAAGAUAGUCCAGCAAUGCGGCGAAGAAUUAAGGGUAUUCUAAUGUCUGGCAAGCAGUUUUCCUUGGAUUCGCGCCUGGACCUUUUCCAUGGAAUCGAUAUUUCACCAACGCAAAAAGCGGAAAACUGCA